AAAACCGAGUACUUGCUCAUGCUCAACCCGAUUUCAGCAAAGUAAAGUCUCUGAGCAUUUACUCAAAACCAUAUGAAUAAAACGAUACUUUACUCAGAGUAAGUUCGAAAUUCGAACAUAGCUUUUACUCUGUCAAAAUGUUUGUUUUGUUUUGGCUCGAUUGUUACUUAUGCUAAAAGUAAUCCAGCGAUACAAAACCGUGAGAACAGAAGUGCCUUUGCGGAGGAUGUUAACCGUGUUUUGUCGUUUGUUGCCGCCUAAUGGAGGCACACAACUUGGUUAAACUAAACAGUCAGCAUCACGUCUGCCGGAAAUGCGUCGAUAACCCUCAUCGUUGGAUAGAUAGCUACGAGAGAGCAGGUGACCGUGCUCAAGUACAAACCUGAGCUCACCAAAGGACAACAUCGAUCGGAGUCCCUACGUGUUGAUCCGCGUCAGAAUCUGAACCGGCAGAAUUUCGUCAGCAGCAACAAUAUUGAUUCCGCUGGGCAAAAUACUCAAGGUAAAGCCACGAAGGACAGAAUGAACUGGCGAAAACUUUCGCGGACAAUUUGGCUGUCAUAAGCGAGUUCUACACGCCAUAGACGACCGGAUUAGUAAUCAGUAGAG